rnacentral:rRNA from 1 species
AAAACGGAGAGUUUGAUCCUGGCUCAGGAUGAACGCUGGCGGUAUGCUUAACACAUGCAAGUCGAACGGUCUCUUCGGAGAUAGUGGCGGACGGGUGAGUAACGCGUGAGAAUCUGGCUUCAGGUCGGGGACAACCACGGGAAACUGUGGCUAAUACCGGAUAUGCCGAGAGGUGAAAGGCUUGCUGCCUGAAGAUGAGCUCGCGUCUGAUUAGCUAGUAGGUGUGGUAAAAGCGCACCUAGGCGACGAUCAGUAGCUGGUCUGAGAGGAUGAUCAGCCACACUGGGACUGAGACACGGCCCAGACUCCUACGGGAGGCAGCAGUGGGGAAUUUUCCGCAAUGGGCGAAAGCCUGACGGAGCAAUACCGCGUGAGGGAGGAAGGCUCUUGGGUUGUAAACCUCUUUUCUCAGGGAAGAAAAAAAUGACGGUACUUGAGGAAUAAGCAUCGGCUAACUCCGUGCCAGCAGCCGCGGUAAUACGGAGGAUGCAAGCGUUAUCCGGAAUGAUUGGGCGUAAAGGGUCCGCAGGUGGCUAUGUAAGUCUGCUGUUAAAGAACCUAGCUUAACUAGGUAAAAGCAGUGGAAACUACAAGGCUGGAGUGCGUUCGGGGUAGAGGGAAUUCCUGGUGUAGCGGUGAAAUGCGUAGAUAUCAGGAAGAACACCAGUGGCGAAGGCGCUCUACUAGGCCGCAACUGACACUGAGGGACGAAAGCUAGGGGAGCGAAUGGGAUUAGAUACCCCAGUAGUCCUAGCCGUAAACGAUGGAUACUAGGCGUGGCUUGUAUCGACCCAAGCCGUGCCGGAGCUAACGCGUUAAGUAUCCCGCCUGGGGAGUACGCACGCAAGUGUGAAACUCAAAGGAAUUGACGGGGGCCCGCACAAGCGGUGGAGUAUGUGGUUUAAUUCGAUGCAACGCGAAGAACCUUACCAAGACUUGACAUGUCGCGAAUCUCUCUGAAAGGAGAGAGUGCCUUCGGGAGCGCGAACACAGGUGGUGCAUGGCUGUCGUCAGCUCGUGUCGUGAGAUGUUGGGUUAAGUCCCGCAACGAGCGCAACCCUCGUUUUUAGUUGCCAGCAUUAAGUUGGGCACUCUAGAGAGACUGCCGGUGACAAACCGGAGGAAGGUGGGGAUGACGUCAAGUCAGCAUGCCCCUUACGUCUUGGGCUACACACGUACUACAAUGCUACGGACAAAGGGCAGCUACACAGCAAUGUGAUGCAAAUCUCACAAAACCGUAGCUCAGUUCAGAUCGCAGGCUGCAACUCGCCUGCGUGAAGUCGGAAUCGCUAGUAAUUGCAGGUCAGCAUACUGCAGUGAAUUCGUUCCCGGGCCUUGUACACACCGCCCGUCACACCAUGGAAGCUGGUCACGCCCGAAGUCGUUACCCCAACUGUUCGCAGAGGGGGAUGCCGAAGGCAGGACUGGUGACUGGGGUGAAGUCGUAACAAGGUAGCCGUACCGGAAGGUGUGGCUGGAUCACCUCCUUU